AAUAAUAAUUCUGUCAUUAUUUCUAUAAUAUCUUUCGCUGUCUCUUUACCACAUAAUGAUAUGAUAUUCUUGAUUGCCAUACAAUCAAAAUAAACUAUUUAAGUCAACAAAUAACCAAUGUUACCAUAAUAUUGUCAUCAAUGUCAUCGUCGGACGUCCGACACGAAUGAAAGAAGUGUUUUAGUUUUGAUUAUGUGAAUUGUGAUAGGUGGUUUUAAUAUGAUGUAUUUUUAAAUUAUAAGCAGUUGUAAACUUUAAAUUCUAAGUAUGGAACCAUUAGAACCAUGUCAGCGCAGCCACCUUAAAAAAACUCGUCUCAGGUGGGGUGAGAAGACUUCUGUAAGAGAAAGAAAAAUCUUUAAAAGGAAAUCAAACUAUUUUAUCAUGUGUUCAAACUUUUAAAAAACAAGAUUAAUAUGCCAACUUGAAUACUGAAGAAAAUAGAAUACCAGAAUAUCCAGUCACAGUAGUUAAAAUAAAUUUAGACCAAAAUGUUGCUAAUGAAAUAUAAGAACAAUUAAUAACACCACAGCACUUAAACUCAACCGACUCAGCUUAUGAUUCAGUACAGUCAAUUUUGAUGGACAAAUCUGUAUAAUAUCCAUCAGAUCCUGAUUUAUUUCGAGAAAAAAUACUUUCAACACCCCUUAUAAGAGCUCUUAUAGAAAUAGGGCCUUGCCAGCCAAGUAUUGAUGGAAAACAUUUUGUUUUUCCAAAAAAUGUAAAUGGUCAAAGUUUUAUUUUAAAGUGGUAUGAAAAAAAAACAAAGUCAAAUUUUCUUUGUAAACGUAGCUGGUUAGUUUAUUCUCCAAGUAGCAAUAAAAUGUUCUGCUUUCCAUGUUUUACCUUACUAUUUCUCAAUAUCAUUAUCAGUGGUCUGGUUCAUCUAAAGGUGUUUCAAAUUUUCGGAAGGGUCACGAAAAAAAUUGUUGAGAAGUUAAAUGAACACAAAACUGCUGAGAGAGAAUAUUUAAUAUUAAGAACACGAAUUAACAACGACAUUUCCGUUGUGCAUAAUAUAAUUCUAGCGGGAAAAAAAGAAAAGGAACAUAAUCGCAACUUUUUAAACGAUUAAUUGAUUUAUCUUUAUUCUUUGAAAAAAAUGGUCUUUCAUUUAGAGGUCAUUGAGAAAAUGCUAGUUAUAAGACACCAAACCAAAGACUUUCUAUUGAACUUGUUAAGUUAGUUUCAAAAUAUGAUGCUGUUUUAGCAAAACAUCUUGCAGAAUCAAAUAAAAAUGAAACUUAUUUAAGUCGUAUGAUUCAAAAUGAUAUAGUUAAAUCUAUGGCGCAUGAAACUGUUCAGUUAAUAUUAAA